rnacentral:snRNA from 1 species
CAUGCCCGAAAUGGCCUAGUCAA